CGCGGCCUGGUUGGGCUGCCGCGUCCAGAACGCGGCGUUUUUGGUGACGUCGCGCCCGGGAGGGAGUAGUUUGCUCCGGGGCGGCUCGAGCAGCCCGGUUUCACGUGGGCUGUGAACAGAAGCCUGACGUCCAGGCCGCGGCGCCAGACCAAGUCCUUUGGCCUUGCGAGCAGGCUUCGUGAUGGCGGGAGCAAAGCCGUGACUGACUGCGGCCCAUUGAGGCUUACCCCUUAUGGUCUCAGUGGGCCUGGGUCUCCUGACCUAAUGAAAGUGGGAGAAGUAAAAACGAUUGAAAAGAGAGGAAUACGCUGGAAGUUUAAGGAAGCUGAUAGGCAAAAGCAAACAGUAGGGAUCCCAUCCAGGACACCGCAUUAGUUGUCAUGUCUCCUCAGGUGGAGCUUGGAAUCAGGUGAU
rnacentral:lncRNA from 1 species